AGCAAAUUUAAACCUUGGCUACUCCUCUCCUCUCCCCGUUUUUGCCUCAUUUGCUAUGAACAACAGCUAAAUAUAGAUGCAGAGAAUGUAACCGCUGCUAACACUGCCCUUUUGCCACUUCAUGUGCACGCCGCUGUUUUGAUAUGGGCUUAGCCAAAUGACGGCGAGGGGGGAAGACAUCCUUUCUGUGAUCGAGGACCAGAGGACACGCUGGGGUGACUCUGUGGAUCCUGAUGAGGAUAAAUCUGACUCCAUGAACUCUAUGGAACAGCUAGAGCAUUUGAAUAGACCAUGUUCAUCUUACCUAAUCUUUUGCUUUCCGUGGGAGGCUGGUCCAAGAGGAUAACCAAAAGGGAAAUGCCUUCAUUUGACAAUGGACAGGAGAGAGAAGAUACAACAGGACAACAAUGAGUGGGAGAGAGAGAGAUGGGGCGUGGGCUGGAGAGAUGACUCCUGGGUACUGGACCUACGCUACCUCUGCGCUACGGCUACACCCGUGGGGCCGUCUCUUAAGUUUAGAUUGGAUAUGAUCUAAUGAUCAGAUAGUUUGCUCAGGCACAGCAACUCAAAGAAAGAAUUGGAUCUGUGGAAAUGAAACAUGUAUCACGUCACCAUAACAUGUGUUUGACAUGACCUCCACUCCCAUACAAACGUGCGCACAAACACACACACAAACACACACACACACACACACACACACACACACACACACACACACACACACACACAUAUAUAUACACUCGCACUACCCCAGCUCUUUGCAAUCUCCUUCCAGGCGCUACCAAGGAGUAUUUGUGUCUGUAACAAUGUCAUUACAACAGCUGACAAAGAAUAACAUGUUCCUAGGGCACAUUGGUGUGGCUGUUAUGGUGGUGUUUUGUGUGUGUAUGUGUUUGUGUGUGUGUGUGUGUGUGUGUGGUUGUGUGUAUGUGUGUGUGUUUGGGAGGGGUAAUGAUGGGAGAAGCUUUCCUUUCAUACUGAUUGCCGCAGACUCAGGGUAAUGGAACAUUAGAGCCCUUCCACAAAUCUCUUUCCGUGUGCGCGCGAAGGGCCGGCGAAUGACUGGUUGCUUCGUCUCCACUUUGCAGAGAUUUCAGAUGUAUAUGUUGCCCCUCUAUGGUACAUUGCUAUUUAAUGACCCUUACUCCUCAAAGUUGUGCAAUCUAUCGUGGCACACACAUGCUGUGUUGGCAAGUGGAUUGUAUGAAUAGGUUUCACCUCCAUUUUUUCCCCUUUGUGCUUGGACCUUUCUGUACAGCUAAGCUGUAGCAAAUGACUGUUAGGCUGUUCUGUGUCUGCAUAGAAUACAUAAAAGCUAUACAUAAAAUUAUCUGCAGUGAGAGGCAAUCUCAGGGGAAAAUAGUGAACUGACAUACCAGCAUUGUGAUAAGGGCAACUCUCUCUCUCGCUUUCGCUCACACACACACACACACACACACACACACACACACACACACACACAAUCACAUACUCAUACACACACACACGUUAACAGUUGCAGUAAAAUCUUCAGAUGCUACUGACCUUGAGUGUUAAAAUUGCAGUCAGACAAAAAGCGCAGUGACACCCAGGCACUUUGCAGCUGGAUUGCAGGCCUGCCAGUAAGCAUUGUUCUCUAAGCACAGUCAGUGAUGGAUUGUCUGUUGACAGAAAGCAUCCACUCCUCAUCAAAGAGAACCAGACAAACAGGUCCUAACUGGCAGCCAAAGAGGCAUUUACCCUCCACCAAGAUUUGGAAACAGGAAAUCAAUGUUUCACUGCUUCUUGCUAUCAGGGCAGCUCAGUAGACAUCUCACCACCAUCCCAUCCACACCAGGCCCUCUGUGGUCCUGCUGGAUGGGCACAUUUGACGGGUUGAAUCCCAUCUGGGUGUCAGCGUUGACCCCCUGGCUCUGCUCCUGGAAGAAAAUGAGCGUUCUGCUCCCAGUGAACACAGUAAUGAUUUGGUUUCAUUGCGGUAAUGCAGGCCCACACUGCCAAGUCACAUUUCCAACGAGUCCAAUGUCCCUUACGUAACGGCUAAUGUUGUUGUUUUGUUGACUGUUGUCCAAUUUGACUUUGAUCGGGCCACCAAGUGCGAUUCCAAAUCUCGAGUAGGCACUUUCAAGUGUAUGGAAAAUUUCUGCAUGAAAAGCU
ensembl:lncRNA